AACGAACGCUGGCGGCAGGCUUAACACAUGCAAGUCGAACGCAUCCUUCGGGGUGAGUGGCAGACGGGUGAGUAACGCGUGGGAACGUGCCCUUCAGUUCGGGAUAACCCAGGGAAACUUGGGCUAAUACCGGAUACGUGCGAGAGCAGAAAGAUUUAUCGCUGAAGGAUCGGCCCGCGUCUGAUUAGCUAGUUGGUGGGGUAAUGGCCCACCAAGGCGACGAUCAGUAGUUGGGCUGAGAGGAUGAUCAGCCACAUUGGGACUGAGACACGGCCCAAACUCCUACGGGAGGCAGCAGUGGGGAAUAUUGGACAAUGGGCGCAAGCCUGAUCCAGCCAUGCCGCGUGAGUGAUGAAGGCCUUAGGGUUGUAAAGCUCUUUCGUCCGGGACGAUAAUGACGGUACCGGAAGAAGAAGCCCCGGCUAACUUCGUGCCAGCCGCCGCGGUAA
rnacentral:rRNA from 1 species